rnacentral:lncRNA from 1 species
AUAAUAGUAAGUGUUAAACUGGGGCGAAAUUUUUGCAAAACUUGGGGAAACCAAAUAAUGUUGUUUUCAUGUAACCACGAAAUGCCUAAGUCAUCGUGGUAAAUCUCAUGCUUGAUAUUAAACCCAGAUCUCAGAAAAGUUUGGAGAGAUAGUGAAAUACACUAUUUAUGUUGGGGUUCUUAGCAUGAGAAAGCUUAAACAGGAAUGUUCAGCUUGCAAUACAGUUUUGCCUCUGCCUUUAUGUCUACCAAUGCUAGCCAGUCUGUGAGGGAAUUUUAAAAAAGCCGUUCAAGAAAUUUCCACCAGGGGUCAGUAUUUUUCCCUGAAGAUAAUCCUGUUUACAUUUUAAUUUGGGGGAAAACCUUGAGAAAACAAAUAAUUCGGCCUGUUCAUGCUCUCAGGGCUUUACAGGUCUAGAUUUUAAAGUCUCCCUAACAAAAAGUUGGCUUUUCACUCCAGGCAACGUUUAUCCGCAUUAGCAUAUCAAUUGAACUGUAGUUUAGCCCUAAUUUGGGCUAUUUACACUUAGGAUCUGACCCCUGACAAGUAUCUAGCUUUUAGCCACGUCUAUUCUCCAAAGGGUGAGACCCAAGAAAUGCUAAGGGUUUUCUUAACCCUGCUUGAAAGUCCAUAUGCUGUGGUGCCGUUUCCGCAGAGGACCCCUGACCUGGUUGAUUGAUUGAUAGGUGGAAUGAACUCCACCCAUCCCCACCUCCGCCCUAGAGAGAACACCUACCCUCCUCCACCCCCCCGCCCUCCGCCCUCCGCCCCGCGGCCCCCGCCAGAACUCAACAGAGAAAGCCCGGCGUCACACCUGCAAGGGAAACAUGCGCUUUAUCAUGUUGGUAGGUGGCAGCUGGAGGUCCAGACAGCCGUGCCUGCCACCUCUCCCUAGGAAAAGUCCACGCAGAGUCAGAUGACUCGGAAAAUGUGACUUGAGGUCAAAGCAGAAGAGCUAUCUUGGCGGCCAGUGAACUCAGACUGCUGCUCCCAGCCCUCCACGCCCUGCAGAUCCACUUGGCUUGUUUCGUCUUCUACUUUGCGACUUCUGCACAAAUGGUACCUUAUCCAAGAGAUCUUUUUUGAUUACCCCAUCUAAAAUAGCCUUCUAUCUUCCAAAUCCACCUGUGUCUCUUUCACUUGCCCUGUGUCCUGCUUUUUCUUUCUAGCAAUGAUUACCUUCUGACGUGUUAUAUAUUUGCUCGUUUGCUUAUCUUAAAAUCUUUUUCCCUACGACGUCUCAAGCUCCAUUUAGGGCAAAGAUAUGUCCCCACAUCAGUGCCUGAUUAUUAAUUCAACAGCCUUCAUGCGGCAUGGACUCCGUGUCACUUCCAGGUGCUGGAGACAACACACAGAGCGCCCCCUAGCGGCUUAGCCAGGAGAGUGGAAAACUGUUGAAGGACAAAACUUGCUGUUGGAGUAUUUUCCAAAGGAGUAUUUUCCCUUAAGGGGAUUAACUGGAUGUUUCUAUGCCCCUGUGUGAGAGCCAUAAAAUUCUCAGUAUAGGGGAAUGUGUGGAAUAAAUAUAAAAAGAAGAAAGGAAGGAAGAAUUACGGCAGAGAUAACACGAAGCACAAUUAAAACUGAAUAAGAACGAGUUCCACGGUGGCCUAGUGGUUAGGACUCAACACUUUCAACACUGCAGCCCGGGUUCAAUAUUUAAACCCUGGUCUGGAAACUGAGAUCCCAUAUCAAGCUGCUGCAGCCAGGGCAAAAACAAAACAAAACAAACCACACAUGCACACACACACUCACAAACACAAGAAAAAA